ACUUCCUGAGCCGGAACGAGAAGCUUUUUUUGGAAUGCGUGUUCCAUCAAGCUUUUGGCUUACGGUUGUGAUGUUGUGUUGUUGUGUUUGCAAUUGGUCUGUCUUUGCAGACCCUGGUAGCCAGGCUACCCCUUUUCACUUCCUGUACA
rnacentral:misc_RNA from 1 species